rnacentral:rRNA from 1 species
UACGGGGGGGGCGAAGCGUUGUUCGGAAUUACUGGGCGUAAAGGGCUCGUAGGUGGCCAACUAAGUCAGACGUGAAAUCCCUCAGCUUAACUGGGGAACUGCGUCUGAUACUGGAUGGCUUGAGUUUGGGAGAGGGUCGCGGAAUUCCCGGUGUAGAGGUGAAAUUCGUAGAUAUCGGGAGGAACACCAGUGGCGAAGGCGGCGACCUGGACCGAUACUGACGCUGAGGUGCGAAAGCGUGGGAGCAAACAGG